rnacentral:rRNA from 1 species
UGGGGACAAGGGUAAACCACCUGAUUGCUUCCUGAACUCAGGAGUGAAACCUCUUAGCGCUGAUGGUAAUGUGAUACUUGCCAUAUGAGUGUAAGCCAUCGUUAGGAUU